rnacentral:rRNA from 1 species
AAACCAGCAACUCAAGUGGUCAGGAUGAUUAUUGGGCCUAAAGCAUCCGUAGCCUGCUUUAUCAGUUUUCGGUUAAAUCCACACGCUCAACGUAUGGGCUGCCGGGAAUACUGCAGAGCUAGGGAGUGGGAGAGGUAGACGGUACUCGGGAGGAAGUGGUAAAAUGCUUUGAUCUCUCGAUGACCACCUGUGGCGAAGGCGGUCUACCAGAACACGUCCGACGGUGAGGGAUGAAAGCUGGGGGAGCAAACCGGAUUAGAUACCCGGGUAGUCC